rnacentral:rRNA from 1 species
AUUGAACGCUGGCGGAAUGCUUUACACAUGCAAGUCGAACGGUAGAGGGGGCAACCCCUCGAGAGUGGCGAACGGGUGAGUAAUAUAUCGGAACGUGCCCAGUCGUGGGGGAUAACGUAGCGAAAGUUACGCUAAUACCGCAUACGAUCUAAGGAUGAAAGCGGGGGAUCGCAAGACCUCGCGCGAUUGGAGCGGCCGAUAUCAGAUUAGGUAGUUGGUGGGGUAAAGGCUCACCAAGCCAACGAUCUGUAGCUGGUCUGAGAGGACGACCAGCCACACUGGAACUGGGACACGGUCAGACUCCUACGGGAGGCAGCAGUGGGGAAUUUUGGACAAUGGACGCAAGUCUGAUCCAGCCAUUCCGCGUGCAGGAUGAAGGCCCUCGGGUUGUAAACUGCUUUUGUACGGAACGAAAAGGUCUCUCUUAAUACGGGGGACUCAUGACGGUACCGUAAGAAUAAGCACCGGCUAGCUACGUGCCAGCAGCCGCAGUAAGAC